AAGUCAGAUAUGAUAUCUAAAUUAUGCAUCACCUUUUUUCCUCGUUGAUAUGUACCUGCAGCAACCCUGGAAAUUUGGUUUAGUUUGUUUCAACAUUUUAGUUUCCUUUUCUUAUAUGAUGACUUUGCCAUCAUUAUCCAAUAUGAGGAACUAUUUUACUUUGAUUUGUUUAAUGUUAAGUCAACUCAGUUAGCUGAGCUACCUUUUCUUAACACGUGUACAUGUGAAGACUACUUCGAGUGCUGUGACAGAUCACACUAGAAAGCUAUGACAGCAUGAUCUAUAUGUACAGCUAUACCCCAGACUUGGCCAGUUAGUUGCUUGAGAAAUGGGAGGAAGGUGAAGAUGUAGAAAAUUCAUGUCAAUAGCGAGACCUGGAGAAGAUUGAUGAUGCGAUGGAUUUACUUUAGAUCGUUAAGGUUCAUUUUGUUCUCAUUUGCUGGAUCUGGAUAUUCAACUUAUCUGGCAGCCAAGCUAAGUAUCGCAACAUCAGUAGUGUAGUAUCAUUAAUAUUCAGUACUGAAGAUGAUUCUCUUUCAGGCUCAAAAAAUAUGGGUUGAAAUUCAAUUUAGACAUUUGAUUCUAAAAGCUUAAGCCUGUUUUCAGACUGGAAUAUGAUUAUCUAGGCAAGUAAGAAGCACCAUCAUUGUUUUUCCUUUUCUUUCCCUACCUGAAUAGACCUGUAAAGGUAAAUUAGACAAUGGCCACGGAGGCAUAUUUUUGCUUCCCAUUAGAUCUCUAUGCGCAGAAGGCUUAUUAUUCAGUGACUUAACAUCGCAUCCUUGUCGACAGUCUAAGUAGGAGUCAAGGUGUAAUGCAAGCACUGGGUUAAGUUCAGAAACCAAGGGACCUUAGUUGUGCAAGCAUAACCGCAUCUGGCUCUGUCAUGUCUUCCCACUCAGAGAAGCUGUGCUUUAUAGAUAGGCGAUCAAUUUUUCUUUUAACCAUAGUACGUGAUCAGACUUUGCUGAGCAUGAAGGCAAAGGGAGACUCUCUUCACUCUCAAUGGAUGGCCAAAAACUAGUUGUAGAUUCAGUACCAGGUGGGUUACUUCUGUUGUGCUGUAAUGUGUAUUUGUGUGAUGAACUGGUGAGGCAGUAAGAGUGUCACUCAGAUAUUUCAAUUUUGCAUUCUAAACUGUAAUAUGUCAAGAUAUGUGCACUGUGGUGCCCUAGCAGAAGUCUUUAGCACAUAUUGGGUUACCAGUCAGUGCCAAAACUGAAGUGAAAAAUUCCUGGAACUAUUUCGAACCUGCAAAGUUCCAUUAGUUGUUGAGCAACGUUCUCAGCAAGAUUGUGGCAUACUGGUAAAGUACCAAUUCCAGCCAUCAGCAUCGUUCAGGAUUUAUCUUGUCAAUAUAUGUAUACACUGUGUAAUUUUUCCAGGUUGAAACUAAGAAUCUUGCAUCUAUACGGGGGAUUGAGGUUUAGAAGUUGCUUGGAAGGACGAAGUCUUGUGUUACUUGGGGUAAGAUUGUGGCGUUGGAGAUCAAAACGCCGCCAAUUUGAUCACAUUGAUACGAUCUUCCAAAGCUUCCUAAAUCAUCAAUUGUUAGAUAUAACUGGUGCUUCUUAAUUUUCAGAAUGAUUGAAUCUCGUUCUGGUGGUUGAGGUUGUGUAAACUGCAAAAGAUUCUGCUUCUUAUGUUGACUUUGAUAGGUUACAGGUAUAUUGACAUCCAUUCAUUAUGAUUAUGAAUCCCAAGGAGAGAACUGUUCUCUCCAUUCUUGUCCAUAUGGCCAACCGUUUUCUCUAUUAUUGCUCUCAGUAUAGCCACUUCUAAGUUUGAAGAGGUUGAUAUAAAUCAAGCAUUUUGGCCAAAGAUGAUCUUGUAAUUGGUGGGAGGGAAAGGCGGACUCAAGGGGGGCGCUAGCUCUCACCCCGGCCGUUAGGUCAAGGAAGGAAUGGCUCUCAUCAGUAAUCAGCUUCUUCAAGGCACCUGUCUGCAAUUUGCCAUUGUUGGUCGAGCGCGAAAGCAGCUGGUUCUUCAAGUGACUUACUUGGUCACGGGGACUUUCUUCCGCGAAACUCCUUGGAUUAAAGAAGCAAUACGUCCAGUAGCGAUAUCCUAAGUUGGCUGCAAUUAGAAAAUAGGCCCAUUCCAUCUAUCUUUCGCCAUUAGAAGAUCCCGAGGGAAUGAUCUUGAACAAUAACAUCACCUAUACCUAUGCACGAAGCACCUAAUCAAUGAGACCUUUUAAGGAAAUAACUGUGCUAAAUGCCAAUCACUGCAAGAUCCUCGGAGUCUAUGAUUCAGACCGGUCUCUCCAAAUGUUGGACAAGAGAAACAGGUUGGGAUUGGGAACUUGGGAGGUCCCUCGUAGGACUUAAGUAUGUGUCCUUACCUAAUUCACGAACCACGUCUCGGGAAGGGCAAACCCUUUGUGUUGUCCAAUUAGUGAUUGGUUUUGAGCAGGGAAUUAUUGGUUUGUAGGUAUACUACCCACGAUGGGCGUAGAUGCACGACUAGUGUUACUUUUUCAAAUGGAAAGUUGCAUCCACCUCUUUAUGAAAAGAUCUCAUGGGCCCAUUUACCUAAAAGUCUCCGUCUAAAAUUAGGGAGACCAAGCCCUGUCAUAGAUUUAUUUUCAAUAAUGCUAGCCAUUGACAUGUAAGUCCAAACAAUCUCUCUCUCUCAUAAGUUUUUCUACAUUCUUUGGGGUAGGACACUUCUCCUACAAGAAUAUGAUAUGUCGAGGUUCAGGCGAAGGCAUUGUUUACAUUAGCCACAUACAUGAUGGCCUCAGUGUAAACGAAUGAAGGGACUUACAUGUCAAUGGCUUUGCCUGGGGCAUGCACCCGAAGACCUCAGGAACAAAAAAGAUAAUGAAUUUCUAUUAUUGGAAAGGAAUCUCAAUGUGGCAUGAUUUUAGGUGAUGACAGGGAAUGGAUGUUGACCCAUUAACAAAGGAGAUAAUACCAAACAAAUCCAUCUCAUCGAGCGGGGUUUUUAAUGAUGCAAGUGGGCACCUUUGCCUGUGCUUUGAUUAUUCAAAUGUUUUGGUUGAAAUGGCAUUGGAUCAGAG